rnacentral:rRNA from 1 species
GUUUGAUCCUGGCUCAGGAUGAACGCUAGCGACAGGCUUAACACAUGCAAGUCGAGGGGCAGCGGGGUGUAGCAAUACACCGCCGGCGACCGGCGCACGGGUGAGUAACGCGUAUGCAACUUGCCUAUCAGAGGGGGAUAACCCGGCGAAAGUCGGACUAAUACCGCAUGAAGCAGGGAUCCCGCAUGGGAAUAUUUGCUAAAGAUUCAUCGCUGAUAGAUAGGCAUGCGUUCCAUUAGGCAGUUGGCGGGGUAACGGCCCACCAAACCGACGAUGGAUAGGGGUUCUGAGAGGAAGGUCCCCCACAUUGGUACUGAGACACGGACCAAACUCCUACGGGAGGCAGCAGUGAGGAAUAUUGGUCAAUGGCCGAGAGGCUGAACCAGCCAAGUCGCGUGAGGGAUGAAGGUUCUAUGGAUCGUAAACCUCUUUUAUAAGGGAAUAAAGUGCGGGACGUGUCCCGUUUUGUAUGUACCUUAUGAAUAAGGAUCGGCUAACUCCGUGCCAGCAGCCGCGGUAAUACGGAGGAUCCGAGCGUUAUCCGGAUUUAUUGGGUUUAAAGGGUGCGUAGGCGGCCUUUUAAGUCAGCGGUGAAAGUCUGUGGCUCAACCAUAGAAUUGCCGUUGAAACUGGGGGGCUUGAGUAUGUUUGAGGCAGGCGGAAUGCGUGGUGUAGCGGUGAAAUGCAUAGAUAUCACGCAGAACCCCGAUUGCGAAGGCAGCCUGCCAAGCCAUUACUGACGCUGAUGCACGAAAGCGUGGGGAUCAAACAGGAUUAGAUACCCUGGUAGUCCACGCAGUAAACGAUGAUCACUAGCUGUUUGCGAUACACUGUAAGCGGCACAGCGAAAGCGUUAAGUGAUCCACCUGGGGAGUACGCCGGCAACGGUGAAACUCAAAGGAAUUGACGGGGGCCCGCACAAGCGGAGGAACAUGUGGUUUAAUUCGAUGAUACGCGAGGAACCUUACCCGGGUUUGAACGCAUUCGGACCGAGGUGGAAACACCUUUUCUAGCAAUAGCCGUUUGCGAGGUGCUGCAUGGUUGUCGUCAGCUCGUGCCGUGAGGUGUCGGCUUAAGUGCCAUAACGAGCGCAACCCUUGCCACUAGUUACUAACAGGUUAGGCUGAGGACUCUGGUGGGACUGCCAGCGUAAGCUGCGAGGAAGGCGGGGAUGACGUCAAAUCAGCACGGCCCUUACAUCCGGGGCGACACACGUGUUACAAUGGCGUGGACAAAGGGAGGCCACCUGGCGACAGGGAGCGAAUCCCCAAACCACGUCUCAGUUCGGAUCGGAGUCUGCAACCCGACUCCGUGAAGCUGGAUUCGCUAGUAAUCGCGCAUCAGCCAUGGCGCGGUGAAUACGUUCCCGGGCCUUGUACACACCGCCCGUCAAGCCAUGGGAGCCGGGGGUACCUGAAGUCCGUAACCGAAAGGAUCGGCCUAGGGUAAAACUGGUGACUGGGGCUAAGUCGUAACAAGGUAGCCGUACCGGAAGGUGCGGCUGGAACACCUCCUUUCU